CGCGUCCGUCCCGUGGACGCCCUGCCCAUCCCGGCCCGCUCCCGGUUAGGCUGGCGCCGUGCGCCCAUCCCCGGAUGCCCUCCGUGUGUCCGGGAAGCCGCAUAGCCGACAGCCGUCGCACCCGAGGGAGCCCUUUACAUG
rnacentral:sRNA from 1 species